rnacentral:rRNA from 1 species
CCUACGGGAGGCAGCAGUGGGGAAUAUUGGACAAUGGGGGAAACCCUUAUCCAGCGACGCCGCGUGAGGGAAGAAGGUUUUCGGAUUGUAAACUUCUGUCAGUGGGGACGAUAAUGACGGUAUCCACGGAGGAAGCCACGGCUAACUACGUGCCAGCAGCCGCGGUAAUACGGGGGGUGCAAGCGUUACUCGGAAUCACUGGGCGUAAAGAGUGCGUAGGCGGGGUAAUAAGUCAGAUGUGAAAUCCUGUAGCUUAACUACAGAACUGCAUGUGAAACUGUUAAUCUGGAGUGUGGGAGAGGUAGGUGGAAUUCUUGGUGUAGGGGUAAAAUCCGUAGAGAUCAAGAGGAAUACUCAUGGCGAAGGCGACCUGCUGGAACAUUACUGACGCUGAUGCACGAAAGCGUGGGGAGCAAACAGGAUUAGAUACCCCAGUAGUC